rnacentral:lncRNA from 1 species
GGCGGAGAAUGCGCGGGUCGAGUGCUGUAGUUCGAUUUUUGCGUGUGUGCGUUGCUUGCGGCCUUUGUGCCUUUUUAUUCUUUGCUUACCUUUAUGAUAUAAAGACCUUAUUUCUUACAAGGAGGAAAAGACCGCUGACUUCAGAAACAGCGGGAACCCCAGCUCGUCCCCGCAUUCCCAGUUUACAGCUGAGGAAAUUAAGCUUCAAGUUGCCCAAGUUUAUAGAAUGAGUCAAUGGCAGAGGUUGAACUCAGAUGACAAAAUUGGGGUCUGGACGUGUGCAAGGACUUUUCCAAAGUCAGCUGGAAAGGAGCUGCUUAGCUGAGAGGUUCUGGCUCCAGAGUCUCCUGUGAAGUUGCAGUCAAGAUGUCUGCUGGGACCCCAGUCAUUUGAAGCCCUGUCUGGGGCAGGAGAAUCUAGGUCCAAAAUGGCCGUUGCAGGAGUCCUUAUCCACACCAUGUGGGACCUCUUCAUAGAUGUUCGAGUGUCCUCAUGGCAUGGCCACUGGCUUUCCCCAAACUUCAAACUAUGCAUAUGGGCCAGGCGCGGUAGCUCAUGCCUGUAAUCCCAACACUUUGGAAGGUCAAGGUGGGCAGAUCAUUUGAGGCCAGGAGUUUGAGACCAGCCUGGCCAACAUGGUGAAACUCCGUCUCUACUAAAAAAUACAAAAUAAUUAGCUGGGUGUCGUGGAGCAUACCUGUAAUCCCAGCUGCUCCGGAGGCUGAGGCACGAGAAUCGUCUGAACCCAGGUGAUUCUGCACUCUACUUGGGCUCUGUCUCAAAACAACAACAACAGCAACAACAAAAACUGUGGUAUUUUUAAUGAACUAAAUAUUAAUCUGCUAACACAGCAUAGGUUUUAUGAUUACUGCAAUUCAAAAGUCAUAAUAAAUUUUAAAACAAAUCCUCCUGUACCUGUUGUGGUGCAUGCAGAAACUUUUCCUGUUCAACACACUUAUAUGGCACUAUAUAGGGAUAUACCAAAUAGCUCAGGUACAUAGUGAAUACAACUUUAACACUUAUAUUGAAAUGCUAAUCUUACUUGCCAAUAUUAGUGGCACAUUAGCAUAAUUUAACUUUUAUAAAAUUAUGGAAAACAGUUUAAAAUUAUUCUCCCUAAUAUUAGCAAAUUGCAUUAAUGGCAUGUACCGUGUGCCAGUUUGUUUCCAAAUAAACAAAAUGUACCUUGAUAUGCCACUUCAGAGCCAGCAGAGGGAGCUCAUACUUUUUUAUUGUUUUCAACUUACUGAAGAAAAUUUGCUUUUAAAAGCUACUGUGUUAUAACCAAUGAGAACCAAGAAAAAGGAAAAAAAAAAAAAAGCUACUGGAUUCUGAAAAAUAAUGUAGUUGUUAUUUAAAUAAUAAAAAUGUAUUAGUAAACAAAAAAGUCAUACUUUAGGUUGAAAUAAUAAAUCAAUUCUAAAUAAAAAGAUAUUAAUGAUAUUUUAUGUAAAAAUGUCAAUUAAAACUACAUAAUUUCAAGGUUUUUUUUUUCUUUUUCUUUUAUUAUAAUUUUUUUAGAGACAAGAGUGUCGCUCUGUCACCCAGGCUGGAGUGCAGUGAUGUGAUCAUAGCUCACUGCAACCUCAAACUCCUGGGGUAAAGCAAUCCUCCUGCCUUAGCUUUCUAAGCAGCUAGGACUACAGAUGCAUUCCACUAUGCCUGGCUAAUUUUAAAAUUUUUUUGUAGAGACAGGGUCUUGCUAUGUUGCCCAGACUAGUCUCAAACUCCUGGCUUCAAACAAUCCUCCCACCUCAGUCUCCUGAGUUGGGGUUACAUGUGUGAGCCACUGCACUCAUCUGCACUCAGCUAUUCAAUUUAUUUUUCUAAUAGCCUUUACUAAAAAAAAGAAAUGUUUGUAACAGAGAUUUCUGGGGUAAACUAAAAUGGAAACCUUCCAGCUACAAGCAUAAAACGUAACAGAUAAAAAAUGACAAAUAUGACACACUUCAAAUUUAAUUCUUACACAUGAAAUUAAACACAUAAUUUAAAUACAUUCCCAUUCACUCAAUUCUCAGCCCUUCCAAAGACACAGAUAAAUGCCAUUAUUAGUUUCUUCUUCUUUUUUUUUUUCUUUUUUUAUUUUUUGAGACAGAGUUUUGCUCUUGUUGCUCAAGCUGGAGUGUAAUGGUGCAAUUUAGGCUUACUGCAGCCUCCAUCUCCUGGUUCAAGUGAUUCUCCUGCCUCAGCCUCCCGAGUAGCUGGGAUAACAGGUGUGCAUCACCAUGCCCAGCUAAUUUUUUGUAUUUUUAGUAGAAAUGGGGUUUCACCAUGUUAGCCAGGCUGGUCUCAAACUCCUGACCUCAAGUGAUCCACCCGCCUUGGCCUCCCAAAGUGCUGGGAUUACAGGCGUGAGCCACCACAUCCGGCCCAUUAUUGGUUUCUUAUGUAUCCUUUCAGAAUUUCUUUAUGAAUAUACAGACAUAUAUGAACAUAAAAUCUUAUUCUAAUCGAAUUUUUCUUAUGCAAAAACAGCAUAUCAUAUACACUAUUCUGUAUCCUGCUCUUUUUACUAAUAUAUAUUGGAAACAUUCGCGUAAGUCUAUAGUAGAGACCUUACUCCUUUUUUUUAGGCAUGUGUAGUGUAUAGCAGACAGAUUGUAAGAAUAUAUAAUAAUUGAUCUAUUCCCACUUAAUAAAUUUUUUUAGUUGUUUCCAUUUUCAAUUACAGAAAAUUCUCCAAUAAUGAACUUGUAUAUAUUUGCCAUUUUCUACAUGUGA